rnacentral:lncRNA from 1 species
GGUGGGGUCGCCGGGGGCUUCGGGGUGGCCUCGGCCCCAGGCCAUCCAGCCCUGUGGACCGAAUGGAGUCCCACACGCUGUUGAGGUAGUUGUGGGUUCCCCUGGCCUCGGGCUCGGCGCAGGGUCAGCGCUCCUGCAGGCGGCGCUUGCGGUACGGGCUGGUGAAAGUGGAGACGGACGGCAGGAUGGAUUCACUUGGCGACAUGGCGGGGAGCUGGGAAGACGGACACCGACCUAAGUCAAUGUUAGUCUACCACUGUACGUCUGGUAACCUCAAUCCCUGCAACCGGAGCAAAAUGUGAUUCCAGGUCUUGGCAACCUCUGAAAUUCCAACUCCAUUUGCGAGAGCUUUGAGGAGGCCAUAUGCUGAUUUCACCACAAGCAACUUCACAACCCAGUACUGGAAUGCCAUCAGCCAGCAGGCCCCUGCCAUUAUCUGUGACUUCUAUCUGUGGCUCAUUGGAAGGAAACCCAGGUGAGAAGCUGAGUCAAUGGCCUUGAGAAUGUCACUGCAUAUGGGAGAUUGAGGCCCCAAAGUCUUUAGGGCUUCCUUCAGCCAAAGAUUAAAGGAGACAGCUGAAUCUGACCCAUAUAUACAGAUUGAAC